AGGACAGAACAAAAUGGAGAUGGAUGAACCGCUGUGGUGACCCCUAAUCGGGAGAAGCCGAAAGAAGAAGAAGACUUGUGACAUUGGAGU